rnacentral:rRNA from 1 species
GAUGAACGCUGGCGGCGUGCCUAACACAUGCAAGUCGAGCGAUUCUCUUCGGAGAAGAGCGGCGGACGGGUGAGUAACGCGAGGGUAACCUGCCCUGUACACACGGAUAACAUACCGAAAGGUAUGCUAAUACGAGAUAAUAUACUUUUAUCGCAUGGUAGAAGUAUCAAAGCUCCGGCGGUACAGGAUGGACCCGCGCCUGAUUAGCUAGUUGGUAAGGUAACGGCUUACCAAGGCGACGAUCAGUAGCCGACCUGAGAGGGUGAUCGGCCACAUUGGAACGGAGACACGGUCCAAACUCCUACGGGAGGCAGCAGUGGGGAAUAUUGCACAAUGGGCGAAAGCCUGAUGCAGCAACGCCGCGUGAGCGAUGAAGGCCUUCGGGUCGUAAAGCUCUGUCCUCAAGGAAGAUAAUGACGGUACUUGAGGAGGAAGCCCCGGCUAACUACGUGCCAGCCGCCGCCGUAA